UGGUAUCUCACCGCUGCGUCGGUGCAGGUGGCAAAAAUUGCCUCAUGUGGUGACGAUACCAAGUUCUGGUGACAUGGUCCCAGCACCAGUAGUCGCUCAGGUACCGGACGAAAAGUCCUCGGAAGAAGUCGAUGAGCAGAAUGCUGGCCACGGUGAAGAGCAUGUCGAUGAUGGAAAGCUUCAGCAUCUCCUGGAACACAGGGGGUCCUUGGGGCCACCUCCUCCUGCAGGGCUCCCAACCUCUGCCAGUCCCCACGCCACCCCCACCCCCCCACCGUGGCGUCUUCGCGUCUGGUGCCUAAUGGGCGUUCAACGAAUAUUUGUUCAUCUGAAUUUGAAUUUUGGUAUCUGAGUCCAACCCGACACGAAACCAGGACAGAACCUGAGGUCUGUGGUUCUGAGGCACUGGAGACCACUUGGGGCCAGUGAUUCAAGUUCACAGGACAGACAAUAACCUGGGGGGUGUGGGGGGGUUGCUGAGAUUCUCUGCAUGAGAUCCUGUACGGGGAGGCCGAGCCUGGAGCGGAUGCCCGGGUUCAGGCCUUCCUUCUGCUCUUUACUGUCUGUGUCCACGGGCAAGUACCUUCACCCCUGGAGUCUCAGUUUCCCUGCGUGUGUCUACAAGGAGGGUCACGAUAGGGUCUCAUGAGGACUAAGCGCUUAACACGGGGCCGGCACGUAGCCAACACUGCACGGGUCUUUGUGCCAAUUGUUACCAUCGAAUCGGAGAAAAUCGGAAACGCUCA